rnacentral:tRNA from 1 species
AGGGGCGUGGCUCAGCGGCCGGAGCGACGGUCUCCACAACCGUGUGUCGCAGGUUCGAUCCCUGCCGCCCCUGCCA